ACAGUAAGCGGAAGUGACGAUCCUGGCGGGUAUCUGAUGGUUUUUAGUCGCUCUGAACCGCAAAUAACUCAUAAUUAUCGACUGUGAAAUGGGAAUGGUGUUUAGGAUCGACGAGUAACGGAUUAACACAAACAGGAUCUGGAGUUUACGGACUGUUCGGCUAACGAGUAUGUGGGAGCCAUCGCUGUUCUCCGUCACUCCAGCUGCCAGCUUGCUGUCCAGAUGUGUCUCAGUAGGAGCUGUGUCUCAGGAUGAAAUCGACGCUGCCUUCUCCAGCCCAAACCCUGUGUUCUCCACGCGCCUGCAGGAGACAGAAGAGAUGAUCAGGAACCAGAAACAGCUGGAUGAGUUGCAGCUGGAGUUGGAGCUGCUGAAGAUGGAAGAACGGAGCGCUGAUGUCUCUCAUGAUUUCCAUCUUGCUUGUCUGAUUCCAGAUCAGAAGAACAAGAGGCUGCAGCUGUUCGCUUGUCAUCUCCUUGAUCUGCUGAGGGAGCAAAGGACUCUGAGACAGAGACUGAUGCGACCGCUGGCUCGGACCAACCUGCCUGUCCCGGCCCACAUGCAGAGUUUUAUGGUGAGAUCCGUGGAGCUGAUGAUGGACUUCGUGGCGUGUCUGGAGGAGAAGCUGAGGUCAGCCCAGAUCCAGACCACCACCGCCGACAGCCUCACCCUGCUGGUAAGUUCCAGUUUGAGGUCACUGAGUAAAUCUUUCUAAUGCUGAUCCGAGUCCAGUACUGCCACCUGUAUAGGAAAGCUUGUGAUGCCUUUAAUCACUGCAGGAAACGUCACACUCCCUUAUGUUGACCUUAGCAGCAGACGUGGAGGCUGCGUUUAUGCAGAUUCUGCAGAAGAGGAAGAGUAGCAGCCAGCAGGAGGCGUCAGAGGCUCAUCAGCGCUCCCUUUACACAACUUGCUGUGAUGUCACCAAGUUGCACAAAUAUUAGAUUGCACUUUUUUAAGGAAUGUAAUAAAAUGUGUUGUUCAUGUGGA